GACGAACGCUGGCGGCGCGCUUAACACAUGCAAGUCGAACGGAAAGGCCUGCUUUCCCUUGUGGAUUGCGGGUACUCGAGUGGCGAACGGGUGAGUAACACGUGAGUGAUCUGCCCCCAACUUGGGUAUAAGCCUGGGAAACUGGGUCUAAUUCCCGAUAGGACUGCAGGGUGGUGCCUGUGGUGGAAAACGAUUUUCUAGUGGUUGGGGAUGAGCUCGCGGCCUAUCAGCUUGUUGGUGGGGUAAUGGCCUACCAAGGCGGCGACGGGUAGCCGGCCUGAGAGGGUGGACGGCCACAUUGGGACUGGGAUACGGCCCAGACUCCUACGGGAGGCAGCAGUGGGGAAUAUUGCACAAUGGGCGGAAGCCUGAUGCAGCGACGCCGCGGGGGGGAUGACGGCCUUCGGGUUGUAAACUCCUUUCGACCGCGAGGAAGCCACCUGGUUGGAAGGGUGGUGACGGUAGUGGUAGAAGAAGCACCGGCUAACUACGUG
rnacentral:rRNA from 1 species